UUGAAGGCAGAGACGAACAUUUUACAUUCAGCCUCAGAAGACAAAGGUGCAACCCAACCCUCCACUGUACAGCUCUCAGGACCAGAGCCUGUCUUCUCCAGACUACAAGAUGAGAACUGCAGUAUGUGCCAUCCUUCUCCUGAUGCUUCUGUGUCAAGGAGAAGCUCUGAGAUGCUAUGUAUGCUCCUCCUCAAGGGGGAGAGGACUAUGCCAGCCUACCGGCUUACUACGCUGUAUAAAAGGUUCUGACAUAUGUGGUGCCGUCUCAUUCAAAAAAUCAGACAUCUCAUUUCGUAAAUGCAUGAGCCGGUCUCGGUGCCGCGGCUAUCAGACGCCAGAUUUUGAAACAACAUGCUGCAGCACCGACGGCUGCAACUGAGCCUCUUCAUCACCGGCUGGACCAUCAUCUCUGAUCUCUGGAAGCUUCUCUGUUGGAUCAGCUCUGUUGCAUUCAGAUGAAAAUAUGUUGGAAUUGUUUGAAUAAAAUCAAAUAAA